rnacentral:sRNA from 1 species
AAGAAAGUGACUGCCGCCCCGCACAGGGGCAGUGCUAAUAGACCGACAAGAAAACAAGUUUCACGAACGAACAAACGAACCCCAAAAAAAAUCGCCGCUA